rnacentral:rRNA from 1 species
UUGACCUCGAAUCAGGUAGGAAUACCCGCUGAACUUAAGCAUAUCAAUAAGCGGAGGAAAAGAAACCAACCGGGAUUACCUCAGUAACGGCGAGUGAAGCGGUAACAGCUCAAAUUUGAAAUCUGGCUCCUUCGGAGUCCGAGUUGUAAUUUGUAGAAGAUGCUUUGGGUUGUGGGCUCGGCCUAAGUUCCUUGGAACAGGACGUCAUAGAGGGUGAGAAUCCCGUAUGUGGCCAUGGCCCGCGCCUAUGGUAAAGCUCUUUCGACGAGUCGAGUUGUUUGGGAAUGCAGCUCAAAAUGGGUGGUAAAUUUCAUCUAAAGCUAAAUAUGGGCCAGAGACCGAUAGCGCACAAGUAGAGUGAUCGAAAGAUGAAAAGCACUUUGGAAAGAGAGUUAAACAGUACGUGAAAUUGUUGAAAGGGAAGCGCUUGCAACCAGACUUGGGCGCUGCCGAUCACCCCGAGUUCUCUCGGGUGCACUCGACAGCGCACAGGCCAGCAUCGGUUCGGGUGGCUGGAUAAAGGCCGUAGGAAUGUAGCUCUCUUCGGGGAGUGUUAUAGCCCACGGUGCCAUGCAGCCCAGCCGGACCGAGGACCGCGCCUUCGGGCUAGGAUGCUGGCGUAAUGGUUGUAAGCGACCCGUCUUGAAACACGGACCAAGGAGUCUAACAUCUAUGCGAGUGUUUGGGCGUUAAACCCAUACGCGGAAUGAAAGUGAACGUAGGUGAGAACCCCUUUGGGGCGCAUCAUCGACCGAUCCUGAUGUCUUCGGAUGGAUUUGAGUAAGAGCAUAGCUGUUGGGACCCGAAAGAUGGUGAACUAUGCCUGAAUAGGGUGAAGCCAGAGGAAACUCUGGUGGAGGCUCGCAGCGGUUCUGACGUGCAAAUCGAUCGUCAAAUUUGGGCAUAGGGG